GCAGAAGCGCCGUGACCUGCAGAAAGGACGCGGCCUCCACCAUCUCGGACAGCACACUAGCCUCGGCCAGCUCGUCCUCGCUCAGGCCCCAGCCCUCGCGCGCGCCGCCCGCGUUGAUGAAGUCCAGCACCAGCCGCAGGCCCGGAGCGCUCAGGCCGCGCAGCUGCUGCACCUCCGGGCCCACCUCGGGCCGCACGGCCUCGCGCAUGCCGGAGCGGUAGAGCGCGCGGAAGUAGUCGCUCUGUUCGAUCAGCUUGCUCUUGCUCACCGGGUAGCAGCGGUCUUCCAGGCGGAUCUGCACCAUCUCCUCGGCCGACAUGGCUGGGCCGCUGCGCCCCGCCGCUCGGCCGCUCAGGCUCCUCCCCCGGGCGCACAGCCUCCGCCGAGCCCGGCCUGCGCUCUCGCUUCCUUCCUUCCGCCGCCGCGGGCCGCGGGCCCCGGGCUCAGCCCCGCCGGUGCGUCACACGCCCUCCGAGUAAACGGCCUCUCUGAUCUUUAAUCCAUGUGUCUAUGUGGGUUCCUCCGCUACAAUGCAGGUGCCAGGAAGCCAAAGGCGGCAGAUCACCCUGCAGCCUGAGGUAAGGGCGGUUGUGAGCUGCCCUACGCGGAAACGGAGCUCCUGUCCUCCGCAGCAGGAGUGUGCACUCUUAACCACUGUGCAUUUCUCCAGCACGGUGUUGUUAGGAAACAAACAAACGCGUCGGUUCGCGGUGCUCGCCCCCUACGCACAAGUCACCGUACUUGAUCUUCUGGUGUUUCCCGCAGCCCCACAGUCCCUGUGUGAGUUUUCCUGGGCCAGUCAGUACUGCGAGGUUUUAGAUCCGCGGGGUGGUUCCAGAGUGGACUAACGGAUUACUAGGGCUAAGCAAUUUAUUAGAAGAGUUAUUAACUCCAUGGACAAGACAGACAGAUAGGAAGGCAGGCAGUGGCAUGGUUCAAACCCCAGCACCAAGACAGCAGAGUCUCUGAGCAGCAAAAAGGGCAGGUGGGUGGAGAGGAUGCGGAGAUGGGGAUGCGGAGAUGAAGAUGCGUCAGAGCUGUCCCCUCUGGGUAGCACUUGCCCGCUCUCAUCCCUAUCUACCCCACCACCACCAUCCCAUCAUAGCUGUUAGGAAAGAACAUUUUCCUAUGUUCCCUGGCGGGACGCUUGGUUAGAAGGCUGGAUCCCAAAGGCUGUAAUGAAGCGAUAGUGUCUGCCCUGGUACCCAUGGUGCCCUGCCUUGCAUUCCCCAGCAUUACUGUGUCCGUCGGCUGCUUCACAGAGAGAGGGCUGUCGGCCAUUAUAUUCUGCAGAAUACACACAAAGGUAAGGAACUAUGAAGUACAGAAAACAUUCUAGCAGGAUCCGGCCUUCCCAUGGGAAAGAGACACAACACAUGGACCUGAGGCUUGCUAUGCCUUACUUUCUUGGAUACUCUGAGAAACUUGGAACACAGCCCCGUGAUUGACAGGCCUGCAAUCAUUCCUGGCAGGCUUCCGUUCCCCAUCUGUCACUCUCAGUGUUUGGGGUAUGAGGAGGGUUUCAGGUGAGGGGCCAAGGAUUUAGUAGAUUCUACAGCAAGGCAAAAUGCCACAGCUACCAUUAGACAUCAGGCUGGGGGCUUCUGGGAGGGCUGACUUAAAAAAGGCUGGACCUGGAUCUGUCUGCGCCUCCAUCAGCAAGGCAGGAUUCAGUGAGUCACCAGAAGAACAGGCUCUUAGUCUCUGGCUCUUUAGAAUCUUUACCAAUGGAAGCUUUUGUUUCCAGACCAACUGGUAUUCUCUUGCCUUUUAAAACAAACCAGAAAGCCAACCUUUGAGAAUGAUUCUCAUUAGAGAGGCAAUUCAACCCUGGUCACAUUACCACAGUGAGGUCAGCUGGACUGCAAUCUGAAGUGGUACCUGACAAUACUGGGCACCGCUCCUGCAAGAUUUUAACCCCUGGCCAUACGAUGGGGCAUCUUAAAAGAUCCAAUAACUUCAGUAAACCACACAGUGUUCUAAAAAGCUGGGCAUAAAGACAAAUACAUAUAAACUUCUUUGUUACAAAGUAUUUAAGCUAUAGUAGUAUCAAGGCUUCAUGAACACGUUGUUUAAUGUCAUCAUUGAGUGGAUGAAGCUGUCAUUGAUCAUUAAACACUGACAAUUGGUGCUCAGGGUCACAGCCCUAAGGGGCUCACUGCUGUUGCUUUGCUAAAUGGAUAUGCUAUCAAGUUACCUUCUGAAUACUUACGUUCAUAGCCACAGAUCAGUGCUGCUCUCCAUCCGCCUUGGCCCAAGAAGUCUCUGUCUGUAGUGGGCAGACAGCUCAUCAAAGUGCUGAGAACAAGGGACUGGGUGUUCAGCCCUAACCGGACUUCUAUAGCAACCUCUCCCCACAAGCUCAGGGAACUACUUGGAAGAAGGGGCUAAAAGAGCAUAAAGGUGGGAGAGUGGGGAGGAUUUGCUGUGGAAUGUGUGUCUUUUGUACGGGAAGAGGAGAUCACACUGGUGAGCUCUCAGAACUAUGGUCUGCACUAGAUAGCCAACAAGAAGAAUGGUCAACAUUCCAGCAAGGUUACC
rnacentral:lncRNA from 1 species